GAUGAACGCUGGCGGCGUGCCUAAUACAUGCAAGUCGAGCGAACAGACGAGGAGCUUGCUCCUCUGACGUUAGCGGCGGACGGGUGAGUAACACGUGGAUAACCUACCUAUAAGACUGGGAUAACUUCGGGAAACCGGAGCUAAUACCGGAUAAUAUAUUGAACCGCAUGGUUCAAUAGUGAAAGACGGUUUUGCUGUCACUUAUAGAUGGAUCCGCGCCGCAUUAGCUAGUUGGUAAGGUAACGGCUUACCAAGGCAACGAUGCGUAGCCGACCUGAGAGGGUGAUCGGCCACACUGGAACUGAGACACGGUCCAGACUCCUACGGGAGGCAGCAGUAGGGAAUCUUCCGCAAUGGGCGAAAGCCUGACGGAGCAACGCCGCGUGAGUGAUAAAGGUCUUCGGAACGCAAAACUCUGUUAUUAGGGAAGAACAAAUGUGUAAGUAACUAUGCACGUCUUGACGGUACCUAAUCAGAAAGCCACGGCUAACUACGUG
rnacentral:rRNA from 1 species